rnacentral:tRNA from 3 species
GGGCCUGUAGCUCAGCUGGGAGAGCGCCACACUGGCAGUGUGGAAGUCGGGGGUUCGAGUCCCCCCAGGUCCACCA